CCUGCUCUGAUGUAGUUUUUCCUCACCCCUUAGAUGAAUUCUGGAGCAGACUCCGGUUUCCAGGAUAUACAGUAUCUAUUUGGGCUUUGGGGAGAAAAAAAAAAGAGGCAGAUUGGCAACAGAUGUUAGCUCAGGGCCAAUCUCCCUAAAAAAAAGAACCAAUUCUUCUCCCACUUUUCCUGAGAGCAGCAGUAUGGUGAUAGGGUAGGAGAUGGGGCAACCGUAUUAGCCAACUAGACCAUUUCCCCUGGAGAUGCGGGAUCAGGAUUAGCAAUUCCAGCACCACCUGGGCUCCCCUUCAACCCUAGACUAUGCUGUGGCCAUCCUCCAUCUGCUGUGUGGGCUAAUGGGCACACAGGGAUGGUCUUUGGGGAAAAAGAGGUGGGAGAUGGAGAGAGCACGCUCUCUGGUCCCAGGGGCUUUCAUAUCCCAGUCUGGUCCUCUCAGAGCCUCUGCUGCUUUCCUGUCUCUAGAGUCUCUGAAAAACCUGUAUCUCAGUGUGAAGCAUCUUCAUCAUUUUUUCCCCUUAAGCUGGUUUGAAAUGAAUUGGUGCUGUUAUUGCCACCAACAAUUUUAACUAACAAGGUUCCUUCUUAUCUUAGGAAAAGAGUCAUCUUUAGGAGUUAACAAAUAUUUUACUUCCAUGUAGUUUAGUGGACUUGCUAUCACAGAGGACCACUGUUUCCUUCAACUCCUUCCAGAAGCCAACAUAAUAGCCACCUCUCUCUCUCCCAUCCAAUCAACUGCUAAAUCUGGACAGGUUUUCUUUCACAAAGACUCUCAAAUCUAUUGCUCUUAUCCAUAACUAACGCCACUAAAUAUAGAAACUUAUUUCUUCAUGCUGGUCAUUUAAUAACCUCCCAACUGGUUGACUCGACUCUCAUCUCUCAUUUUAAUGCACUGUCCAUUCAGAUGCAGCUCCUGAAGCUCCCUUUGAUUGUGACCCCGCCCAAGUGUUAAAGAGGCCGGAUUCAAGUCACCGAGCAGGAGAGUGCUGGGAAGGGGGUAAAAUCAUGUGUUACUUUUCCAUUGCUAUGUAACAAAUUGCCAUACAUUUAGCAGCUUAAAACAACAUCCAUUUAUAAUCUCACAGUUUUGUUGGUCAGAAGUCCGCUGACUUGUCUGGAUUCUAUGCUCCAGUUCUCUGAAGGCCAAAAUCAAGAUGUUGGCCAAACUAGGCUCUUACCUGGAGGCUCUGGGGCAGAGUCUUCUAAGCCAUCAAGUUGUUAGCAGGAUUCAGUGCCUUGCAGUUUUCAGCAUGAGGUCUCCAUUUCCUUGCUGGCUGUCAGCUGGGGGUCACUCUGCUCCAAGAGGCCGCUCACAUUCCUUCUCACAAGGCCCCUCCAUUUUCAAAGCAGCGUCAGGGCAUCAAGGCCUUCUCCUGCUUCAAUCUCUGACUUGCCCUUCUGUUACCAGCUGAAGAGAACUCUGCUUUUAAAGGGCUCCUGUGACUAGAUUAGCCCCAUCUUUUCUGAUUAGUAACCU
rnacentral:lncRNA from 1 species